rnacentral:rRNA from 1 species
CCUACGGGAGGCAGCAGUGAGGAAUAUUGGUCAAUGGGCGCGAGCCUGAACCAGCCAAGUAGCGUGAAGGAUGACUGCCCUACGGGUUGUAAACUUCUUUUAUAUGGGAAUAAAAUGUUCCACGUGUGGGAUUUUGUAUGUACCAUAUGAAUAAGGCUCGGCUAACUCCGUGCAAGCAGCCGCGGUAAUACGGAGGAUCCGAGCUUUCUCCGGAUUUAUUGGGUUUAAAGGGAGCGUAGGUGGAGUGUUAAGUCAGUUGUGAAAGUUUGCGGCUCAACCGGAAAAUUGCAGUUGAAACUGGCAGUCGUGAGUACAGUAGAGGUGGGCGGAAUUCGUGGUGUAGCGGUGAAAUGCUUAGAUAUCACGAAGAACUCCGAUUGCGAAGGCAGUUCACUGGACUGCAACUGACACUGAGGCUCGAAAGUGUGGGUAUCAAACAGGAUUAGAUACCCUUGUAGUC